AGUUAACGUAUGCAAAAUCCGGUAUUGCAAAAGACCUAAACCCUUUAGAUAGAGGUUCAAAUCCUCUCAUUAACU
rnacentral:tRNA from 1 species